rnacentral:rRNA from 1 species
CAGCCGCCGCGGUAAUACGAGGGGGGCAAGCGUUGUUCGGAAUUAUUGGGCGUAAAGGGUGCGUAGGCGGUUUGAUAAGUCUUGUGUGAAAUCUCUGGGCUCAACCCAGAGUCUGCACAGGAAACUGUCGGGCUUGAGAGUGGGAGAGGUGAGUGGAAUUUCCGGUGUAGCGGUGAAAUGCGUAGAUAUCGGAAGGAACACCUGUGGCGAAAGCGGCUCACUGGACCAUUUCUGACGCUGAUGCACGAAAGCUAGGGGAGCAAACAGGAUUAGAUACCCGAGUAGUCCCUGUCUCUUAUAC